UAGUGGGAAUUGUAGGGCUCAUUUGCAGUCCGCAUGCAUACUCAGAGUCGGGCCCUGACGGUUUCGGCGCUAGUCAUGCCAUCACUGUCCCUGUAACUAUGGGUACCCGUCCAUAACUCCUGCUCUGGCACAACCUCCCGAUUCUCAGGACGCACGCGCCAAUUCGGAACAUCGGCCAUCGAUAGCUCUUGCCUGCUCCCAUUGAGCAUGCACGUUUCCUUGACAUCGAUACACUAGGCAUACACUUAUCCGCGUAUAAGUCUUGCGCACGCGUACUUGCCUUGCCCAAAGACGGGAACCGCGAGGGCUCACCUUUUCCCAAGUGCGCCUGCGUACUCAUUGCUGUUCAUCGAUAUUUUCGUCGUGCGACUGUGAGGCCGCCCCGUUCUGCGCAUGCGGGCUGGGCCUACCCCCAGUGAUUCGUCAACGCCACUGCCGGUUUAGCAUAUGGUGGUGCCGUGCCCCGGAUGGCUGUCUCUGCGGGCUCCUCCUCGUGCACCCGUCCUUGGAGCCAGCGUGUCAGCGAGGAGCCGCAGUGUGACAGAAGCGGGAAUUGGGGCAGAAGCACCCCCCCAGGAGCAGUCGGGUUUGCAAGGGGCACUGGGCACUCAGGCAGGUGUGCAGGGCUUGUGCCGGUCCCUUGGAAACGGGUAAGGCACCACGAGCAACAGGUAUGCUCAGCAGACAGAACGCACCAGCAGUUGCCUAGGCUUCUGCCUGGAUGCACAUCAUUCCCAUGCCCUGCUCCAACCGUAACGCCUGCAGUGACAGGAAAGAGCUGCAGGGGUAGGCUGUGCUGCCCUGCUGUCUGCCUUUAUGUGCAUGUGCAGUUGCCGCCAGCAUGAAGCUGAUGCUGAAGCUGUGGAGCCCGGCGCAGCUGUUUGCAGCCUGCCUGCUGCAGCUGCCCAGAGCUCAGGCUGGCUACAAACAGCUGUGCUGAGCUCUGGAGUGCAGUCACCAGCUGUGUGCCAGGAACGGGGGAAACAACGGGGUUGCACUGCCUCAGGCCCCUCCCCCACUGCCCGUCCUGAUGCACGAGUGAAAGCGCCGGUAUAAAGCUCAUGCCUGGCCUCCGGAGCCUGGCACAGCUGUUUGGAGCCUUUCCGGUGCAGCUGGCCUUGGCUCUGGGUAACUGCUGCUAGCCACAGAGCCUCAGCUGCUUCCAGCGGGCAGCUGGGACGCUGCAAGCCCUGCUGGGAGCAGCCCAGGCUCCAGCAGCUACCCAGAGCCAGGGCUGGCUGUGGUGUGCUGAGCAAAAUGGCUUCGCGUGCCAUGCUCGGCACGCGUGCUGGGGGUUUCCACCCCCUGCUGGUAGCACCCUGCAAAAGCAACUACCUGCCCCAUGGCUUGCUGGAUACUGGGGCCCCAGACCCCACAGACUUUGUAUUCUCUUUCCCUGCACGUGGGUGAUGUGUGGAGCUCUUUGAUCUCUGCAAGCUUCAAGCCUUGUUAGCCACCCAUCCUUAUGCACUCAACAACCAGCCCCUAUGACUGUCCUACCUGACAGCCUCUGUUAACCUCUCCUAGUUUCAUCCUUCCUCUGAAAGCUUCCCAAGAAAUUCCUUGUCACGCUCCAGUCUGCAGCAGGGCUGCACCACUGUUUCCCAGCUUCCUUUCGUGAGUUGUAGGGGAUGGGGGGAGAAUGCUUCCUUGACCCCCUACUGUUUGCUUCUGUCAGCUUUAAGCUAUUUAUCUGUUUCAGUUCCCCUUUCCCUUCUCCGCUGCCUGUGCUGGCAUUGUCUCCUGUCUGCACAGGGCUUUGGUUUAACUGAGGGCUGGACAGGUAUUUGGGCCUGCGGGACACGUAAGCAGUUCUGGGGAGCUGCAGCGGGCUGGUCAGCACCCCCACACAAUGAAUAGUUAGGAAUCCGUGCCCACUAUUUAUUUUCCCUGCCACCACCAAUACUCCACAUUCCCAGCCCUGACCCUGGCCUGCCCCAUGCCCACUCCAGACUCACCCUGGCCAGGGUGGACCAGCCCGAACCUGCGUGUACACCCCUGACCAGAGCCCUCCUUGCACCUGUCCAUGCUGAGGAGUGGUAGCAGCAGGACGGAAGCUGCUGCUCCAACGUGGGAGAAACGUGGCCGCUCCUCACCCUGGCCAAGCCCUUGUUGCAACUGCCUGGAGUCCCCACCUGCCGCCUCUGGGCUGCCCAGUAGUGCAGCAGUGGUAGUGCAGUGGAACCACAGGGCAGUCUGGGCGUGGGCUUUGAGCAGUGGAGGCAAGAAGGAUCUAGCAGCUGAGAAGUUUGUGUGGCCACUGUCCCUCAUGCUGAGCAGCAGCUUGUGCUUUGCCGUCGCCACUAGUGCUGCUGCUCAGUGUGGGUGGACAAGUCUGGAGCAGGGGCAGGGCUGUAUGUGCUGUUUGUGGCGGGAUGCGCCAUGGGCUGGAUGGCGUCUGGCUUAGGUAGGGCCGAGGGACCCGCCACAGGCCAAACAGAAUCCCUCCAUGGGCCAGAUCUGGCCUCCGAGCUCUAUUUUGCCUACCUCUGGUAUAAUGGGAUGCAUGUGUUACACCCAAAAUGUCUCUGGAGAAGUACAAGAGAACCAAAGCAAGUACCUCCAUAAAAUGUACACCAGAUUAUUGGGACAUUACUAAUCAGGCACUUUUGCCAAGAGCAGCUACUUACAGCAGAGAAUACAGAGACGUACUCAGAACUGGGGCGGCCAGGUGCCAGGGCCUCUCGUAAUACAUCCUUCAGGUUUGAGGCCAGUUCCACAAUCCCACAUCUUUGCUUUUUUGUGGGGGUUUUAUAAAGUUCAGGUUGAAAUUCUGUAUUCCAGCCCAUUUCUCUGAGGUAGGGAUCUCUUGGCCCUUUGAGUAGAGAGCAGGGAAACUGAGUCAUGGCCUGGGACCAUUGUUCUUUCCUGAAGUUGCCUCAUGAGCAGUGGGUGUCAUUAUUGGACUAUACAUCCCUACUCCCUUGAAACUUUUCUGCCAAGCUCUUCUUGGUGUUUUUAGACUGAACUGCUUCUGGGAUCAGAGUAUCUGGAGGGAGGAGUAACCUUGUGGAAUGUAGCCUAGCAAAAAAGAGGUCCUUGCCAUGGGCUACGACAGACCCUUGGCACUUUAGUAGUCACAGAAUAUGGUUCUGCAUUGAGGGGCCUUGUUUGACACCGAAGGAUGGAUAAUCAUUCUGUCACAACCCAAAGUUGCGGUUUUUGUUUGUGUGCGCUUCGGCACUGCUAAAUUAUUUUCCCGCCGAUUGUAGCUUUCUUUGCAGGAUAGAGUUCUCUGCUGCGGGAGAGAACUCUGGUGCAACGGGGGAUUUCCCGCCAAAUUACAGCUUCUUUGCAGGGUGCAUUUCUUUUGCAUACUAGUGAUGCACGUUACAAAGGAGUUCCCGCCAUUUGUAUUUGAAUUCGCGCCACGUUAUUGGCCAGUUCCAAACGUAGGCACACGUGGCGGCUAGCUAUUGGCUUGCUAGCCGUACAAAAGGCUUGGGUAGCUUCCACCCAAGUCGGAGGGAGGGAGGAAGAGAGAGAGAGUCUGCGUGAAGAUCUCCAAGUGCUGUGGACCCUCGUGGACCCAACGCGCCUCCCCUAAGCAGGCAAUAGAGGCUUAAUAACCGAACAUACGGAGCUUUCGCUUCUGGCCUCUCCCCGUCGCCGAUCGCAAUCCCAGACGUAUCCCUUUCCUGUAAACUUUGAACCCACGGAGCCUUAACAACUCCGAUGAACCAAGAAACCGAACCGGACCCGCGGAGCCUAAACAACUCUGUGGGAGCAAUCGAAUUUGUCGUGGUCCUCUAGUGAGGAUCUAAGCGGGAGCUGUGCCUGGAAACCUGUCCAGCCUACACCACUACCAUCUUUGGGUGUAAGUAAACAAUCUUUUCAAUCAACCACUACGUGUUUGUGUCUAAUUCUAGCUCGCCGCUGGUUCUCUCAGACCCCGCGUGCCCGGGCUGCUGGCCACAGCCCGCGUGCGCAAAAGAUGGGCCGCAGAUCGCCCCUCCUGACUCGCGCGUGGCGGCGGGAUCGGGGCCCGGCCCGCACACGUUCAAGAUGAUAAUUCCCAGAUAUUGCUUCUGAGAGUAUGAAUGGGGGAGGAAUGUAUUCCUUUUUUCUGCUUUUAGCUAUUAGCAGUACAUUUUUAACUGAGGAUGUCCUUAGCUGAUCUGAGCAUAUCCAGUGCCACAUUUGUGCACAUUGCUGCUCGGCACUGGCAUCACUUGGAGUUUAGAAGAUAACCCUCCUUUAUACAGUUUCAGCUGUGUGUGAUGGGACUCCUUAAAUAGAGGGGUUUUUAAUCAGUGAGGCACGUUAGAAAGAACCUGGUAAUGUUCAGUGUUUUCAGAGACAAGACUAUGACCCCUUUAUGGUCGGGACAGUUUUGCAAGCUUGGAGCCAGAAUUCUUGGAAAGUAGCAAUUAUUUUACCUAUUACUGGGGUUCCUGGUUUUCUCUGUUAAAAACAUUGCAAAUUCUCUGAUUAAAACUCACAAAUUAUAACCUGCCUUUUCCUGUUAUUACAAUGAAACGCUUGCUUGUGCCCCUCAGUCCCCCCCACCCCCAUGCUUGCCAGCCCUGCUGGUGCCCUUAGUCCUGGCAGCCAUGCCAGAGGGAGGCCCCAGCUGCCAGGACUAUGCCUCUUGUCCCUGGGAGGAGGCUGCGGCUGCUGCAGUGGAGCAGAGCAUGGAGCCUGGUUCCCGUCUGCUCCCUGUCUGCUGUGGGACUGGGCAGGUGGUGAGGCCAGCUCCCCGCUCCUGUGUGCACUCCUGGGGUGCAGCGGGGACUCCUGCCCAUUAGAUCUGUGCUCAGGGUGGGCGUGUGCUCCCGCCCUGGUAUCCUGCCCCCGGGGCCUCUGCAGCCUGGUGGGUGCAACCUGGCAUGGCAGGGAACAGCAGAGCCACACGGAAGCUGCUUGCCACUAUGACCUCCGCCCUGUUCUGGCAACAUGUCCAGUGCAUGCGUGGGGGUAGCGGUGCAGGGUUGCGCUCCUCACUGGUUCCACUCCUGCCCCACAGACAGGUCUGGGGGCACAGGUCCCCACUGCCCUCCAGGAAUGUGCGCAGCUGUGGGGAGCCAGCCGGCCCCACCCAUCCUUCCUGCUCCCCACCAGGGCCUUGCAGCCACAGACUGCAGCCCCCGGCCCCAUGCACCGCCAAGCUGGGCUGCAGCCCCAGCCCUGCCCAACUCCCUGCCUCCUGAUGGGGGCCUCACUUCCUCCCCAGCUCCCCGCCACUUACCUGCAGGAGCGGCGGCAGCGGCCGGGGGAAAUCGUGGACCCCUUUUUGCAGGGGGUAUGCUGCCACACUCGAGGGAUACACGAGGACCUGCGUGCACCCCGCGCACGUCGCCUCUGCGCUGCGUUUAGCUCCUGCCUCGCAAUCGGUGUCAAGGAGGGGAGACCAACCUGCUGCUCGGUGCUGCCCUGCGGUGGUCCCGGCGGGGCCUUGACCCAGCGCGUGAAGGCGCAGAAAAAGCCCUGCUCAGAGCCGCCCUCCUGUGGCCGCGCCGGGCAUUGCGGCGGGGAGACCCGGGCAGGCACCCAAGCCGGCUCCGCGCUGCCCGCCUGGGGCUGGCGCGGGGCUUGGAGCCCGAAGACAAGGGCCAGGAACAAAGCCGGCUCCGUGCCACCCUCCCUGCCCUUCAACUUGCGCUGAGCAGCCAGGCUUUAAAGCCAGAGAAAAGAAAAACCUGCAGCAUACUGAAGGCACUGGCUGACAUCGUUGCACAGCCACUGGCAGGAAUAGUUGAACGCUCGUGGCGCACGGUCCAAGUCCCGGAGGACUGGAAAAGGGCCAAUGUGGUCCCCAUUUUCAAGAAGGGGAGGAAGGAGGACCCGGGCAACUAUAGGCCAGUCAGUCUCACCUCCAUCCUGGGCAAAGUCUUUGAAAAAAUUAUCAAGGCUCACAUUUGCGAGAGCCUGGCAGGACAAGUUAUGCUGAGGGGAAACCAGCAUGGGUUUGUAGCAGGCAGAUCAUGCCUGACUAAUCUAGUCUCUUUUUAUGACCAGGUUACGAAACGCCUGGACACAGGAGGAGGGGUGGAUGUCGUAUACUUAGACUUCAGGAAGGCCUUCGAUACGGUAUCCCACCCCAUACUGGUGAACAAGUUAAGAGGCUGUGACUUGGAUGACUGCACAGUCCGGUGGGUGGCGAAUUGGCUGGAGGGUCGCACCCAGAGAGUCGUGGUGGAUGGGUCGGUUUCGACCUGGAAGGGUGUGGGCAGUGGGGUCCCGCAGGGCUCGGUCCUGGGACCGAUACUCUUCAAUGUCUUCAUCGACGACUUGGACGAGGCAGUGAAGUGUACUCUGUCCAAGUUUGCAGAUGACACAAAGCUAUGGAGAGAAGUGGACACGCCGGAGGGCAGGGAACAGCUGCAGGCAGACCUGGACAGGUUGGACAAGUGGGCAGAAAACAACAGGAUGCAGUUCAACAAGGAGAAAUGCAAAGUGCUGCACCUAGGGAGGAAGAAUGUCCAGCACACCUACAGCCUAGGGAAUGACCUGCUGGGUGGCACGGAAGUGGAAAGGGAUCUUGGAGUCCUAGCGGACUCCAAGAUGAACAUGAGUCGGUAGCGUGACGAAGCCAUCAGAAAAGCUAAUGGCACUUUAUCGUGCAUCAGCAGAUGCAUGACGAAUAGGUCCAAAGAGGUAUCAGAAAGUUCCAGUUGGAAUGAAUGACCUUCCUCGGGGACAAGAGGUUAUCCAUUUCUAUGAAGUUUGGAACGUAUCUAGAAACUGAUUAACCACCAGGAAAAAACGCAAGUGUCGUCGGAAAACAAGGUAAAUCACGGAAAAACAGCAGAGUCAAAACUAAAUUGGGAGUAGACACGUGUCCCAAACGGAGAAUGUCUCGCACAGAAACAGAAGUUAAUUGUAGAAGAACUAUUUGCCAUACUAAGUAAUCAAAGAUAGACAUUUCACAGGGUUACAUACCAGACAGCUAGGAGCCUGCUCGAAAUGGUCAUGAAUCUAGUAAGAUAAGGUGGAAGGGAGACCUUGUUAUUUCUCCCCAGAUGGCCUAGCCAUGGACUCACAGCUUUUUGCACGGCGCAGUCGGCAUCAGUAUUUUGCCUUCCGGGUUUUGUGAGGAGGCCCCAGCUUGGCGUGAGUUUCAGAGUCAUCGGGGGCUGUGUGGAAAGGUGCCUGCGUGCGGUGACGUGGAGCCGCGUGGGCUCGGAGGUUUGUGUGUGGAAAACCGGCCAUUUUGUGUGGCGAGCUGGGAACCUUUUUCUCUGUUGUGUGGUGAUCUUGUUGGUAGGCUUUUGUUCAUUUUGUGUGGUGAUUUGGAGGUGUUUGUGUGGAAAUAUUGGGGUAAUAUGGUGGUAGUGGGAGAAUUCUGUGGGGAUUUGGGACCUUUAGUUGGAAAUGUGUGGAAACGUGAUUUUGGGGGGGCAGAAAACUGUUAAUUGCGUGUGGUGGUACAGGACCUUUCCUUGAAAAUACAGGGUUUUCUGUGCAAAGCUUGUUACUUAGGAACCAUUUGUGGAAAUAUGGUGGUUUUGUGUAUGGAAAAUGGGGUAGUAAUUUUUGGCUGAUUUAGGAACUUCUUUGUGUGACUGGUGUGGUGUGGGACCUGUGGAAAACUGUGUGGGGAUCGGUUAAGUGUACGGAAAUAUGGUUAUGUUGCGUGAAGGGAAUUGUCUGGGGAUUUGGAAACCCUUUUUGUGGGCACGUGUGUGGGCUCGUGGUGGUUUGUGUGUGGAAAACCGGCCGUUUUGUGUGGUGAGUUUGGAACAUGUUUCUGGUAGUGCCGUGAUGUUUUUGGUGGGAAGUCGGUCAUUUUGUGUGGUGAUUUGGAGGUGUUUUUGUGGAAAUGUUUGGGGACGUGUUGGGACGUUGGGAGAGUCCUGUGGGGAUUUGGGACCUUUAUCUGGAAAUGUGAUUAUUUUUUGUGGAGCGUGUGUGGACCAUUUUUCUUGGAAAUACUGUGAUUUUGGUGGGGGAAAAAACUGAGGAUUUGGGAACUGUUUGUGGAAAAAUGGUGAUUUUGUGUGUAGAAAAUGGUGUAGUAUUAGGGUGAUUAAUGAACUUUUUUGUGCAACUGGUGUGGUCUGGAACGUGUGCAAUAUUUUGAGGUGAUUGGGUAAGUGUGUGGAAAUAUGGCUCUGUUGCGUAACGGAAAUUGCGUGGGGAUCUGGAACUCUUUUUGGAGGGCGUGUGGCAGUUUUUCUGUAGAAAACGCCAUUUUGUGUGGUGAUUUCAGAAGCUUUAUUUUUUUUUUGGCAAAUGUGACUAUUUGGGUGGGAAGUUGGUUGUUUUGUAGUAAUUUGGAGAUGUGUUUGUGGCAAGGUUUGGGAUAAUAUGGUACUGGGAGAACUUUGUGGGGCUUUGGGAGCUUGUUUGUGGAAAUGUUUGGGUGGGUUUUUUGGGGUUGUUUUUUUUUUUUUUUUUGUGAAAGACCUGAUUGUGUGUGGUGUUGAAGGGAUUUUUGCGGAAGUAUGGUGAUUUUGUGUGGAAAACUGAUGAUUUGGGAGCUGUUUGUGGAAAUGUGAGUUAGUAGAAAAUGGUGUGGUGAUUUUAGGCUGAUUUAAAAACUUAUUUGUGCAAAAUGUGUAGAAAUGUGAUUUUUGUUGUGGAAUUUAGGACCUUUCUUCGGAAAUAUAGGGGUUUUGACUGGAAAACUGGUGAUUUAGGAAAUGCUUGUGGAAAUGUCUCUGCAAAUAUGGUGAAUUUGUUCAUAGAAAAAUGGCUUGGUAAUUUUAGGGUGAUUUGGGAACUGUUCUGUGCGAUUGCUGUUUUGUGGGACCUGUGCAAAAAUCUGUGGCGAAUGGGUAAGCAUAUGGAAAUAUGCUUAUGUCACGAGGGAAAGUGCAUGGUGAUUUAGAGGGGUGUAGGUUGUAGCCAUGUUGGUCUAAGGACAUAGGCAGACAAGGUUCCUUGGAUGAAGUUGAUACCUUUUAUUAGACCAACCCAAAUGGUGAUUUGGAAACUGUUUUUUUGUAGGAAUAGGUGAAAAAAGAAAAAAAGAAAUUAUGUGAUUUGUGUGGUGAAUUGGGAACCCUUAGUGGAAAUGGGCUAGGUUGGCCCAUGGUGGUCAUGUGAUCCACUAUGGUGCGGUGAACGGUGUGUGUGAUUGCACCCAUGUGAAACUGUCUAACGUGGGUCUGCCCUUGCUCGCAGGCUACUUCUCGUGCACCUGUCCUUGGAGCCAGCAACUUCCAACAGCCAGCGAGGAGCUGCAGCGUGACAGAAGCGGGACUUGGGGCAGAAGGGCCCCCAGCAGCUGUCAUGUUUGCAAGGGUCGGUCCGGGCACUCAGACAAGUGUGCGGUCCUGCGGGGGUGCCUUGGAAACAGGCAAGGUACCACGGGUGACAGGCUAGUCCUAGCGCUCCUGUCCUUGGAACCAGCUUAUCGGUGAGGAGGUGCAACGUGACAUUUGGCACCAAAAGGCCUGGAGUAGAAAGAAGGGCCCCCGACAUCCGUCGCAUCUGCAACGGGUCCCUGCGUGAGCUACUGAGAAACAAGCGUUUGGGGCCCGCACCGGUCUCCCGGAAACAUCCGAGCCAGCCCUGGCAGCAGGUGCCUGCGCAUUCCUGCCUUGGACACGGUCAGGGAACGCAGCACGCCAGCAGUUGCCUCGGCUUCUGACCGGAUGCACGUCGUUUGCUUGCAAGCAUCCAAAGCUAGCACCUCCAGCGGCUGCAGCUGUUGCUUCCCAACUACUAGGAGAGCCUUGCAAAAGCAAUGGCCUGCCCCUGGGCCAGGCUGAUACCAGUGGCUCAGACCCAGAGACUUGCUGUUGUACCUCCCGGUGUCUGGAUUAGGUGUCGAGCACUUGGAACUCUGUCAGCUUCAGCACAUAUUAACCUCUCGUCCUCCUGUGGCCAACACCACAGAGCCCAUUACCCUAAUGUUUCUGUCAGCCUCUGUCUCACCCUUCCCCUGAAGGCCUCCCAUGAAAUCCCUUGUCCCAUCCCAGUCUGCAGGUUGGCUCCACCAGUAUUUCCCAGCUGCACGUGGAGAGUUGCAAGGGAGCAGUGUCAGCGAGGAGCUGCAGCGUGAAAGAAGUGGGACUUGGAAAUAUCCAAGGCACCACAGGUAACAGGAUAGUUGGAGGGGCGGGGAAUGGAAGGAAGAGGCAUGGAUGAGACCUGCAUCUUUUGUUCAGCAAAUUUCUGUAAGUAAUGUUAGUACUACUAAUAUUAUCCCUGUUCUGAUUCUUACUAUUACUAUUAUUUGUUUUCCCAUUGUAGUGCGCAAGUUUGUCAUUACGCUGAAAUAGAAUAGUUUUCUGAAAGCAUACUGUUAGGUUUACAAUAAUUUGGAUUUUUAAGAAGUAUUAGCUUUACAGCUGGAUACAAGGCAUGACCUGUGGCCUAGUAAUGCAGCUGACCACAAGGCAGAAUGAUAGCUAGGCCUUUGCUUGUGUCAAGUAAUCAUUUUAACUGCAACAAGCAUUUUCUGAGUUAAAAAGUGAAUCUGUGUCUGUGUGCUAAAAAAAAUCAGCUACAGCUAGAAGUAAGAUAAGACAGAGAAACCAUUGUUUGAGCUUACUGGUUGUGUCCUUGAGAAGUAUCUUCUACUGUGUAAGGUUUUGCUAACAUAAUGUUACUGUUACUUAACUUUUAGCUUUUAAAAAGUGCUAGUUCCGCUUAAUAGAAAUAUGCUGUUACAAAGCUUUGUAGAGCACCGCCCCAAGUAUUGCUUUUUGUUAACCAUAUAGUCUCGCUUUGUUGUAAGAAGUAUAAAAGAUCGCCUCACCCUUGAGGGGGGGCCAUUUUGCCUUUUGCUGGCUUUAUGGUCUUUGCUCGAGCAAAUAAACAGCUGUCUUUCUUUACCCACGUUGUCUGUCAAUCAAAUUACAGCUAGACAACGGACCUUAGGGAGGUUUCUCCCACCACACCAUGUACUUUGCCAACAAAGCACCUGGCAGGUCCAGUAAGAAAAGGAAGUUUCCAAACAGGUGACAGAAGGAAACCAAAUGAUUUAAGUAUGCAAGUGGUGGUGGUGGUGUUGUUGGGAAGGUUCAGGAACCAUGGGGGAGGCAAGAGUUUUUGUUAUGUCUUGUGUGGCAACAACAGCACGGUUUGGACGGACAGAAGCAAGGUUUUAGGCAUCCCAGUCCCCUUUUUCAGUCCUGGUUCCUUCCCAGCAUCCUGAGGAAAGGUACUGUCAUACCCCAAAGGUUGCCUGUAUCUAUGCCCAUCUUACAGUUGGUCUGGUAAAACAGGGGUCAAAAAACCUAUGGCCUGUGGUUUGGAUCCAGCCUGUGAAGAAACUGGUUCUAGCCUGUAGCAGUUCAACCAAGGAGCAGCACACUCCCAUGGUGACAGGAGCAGGGACAUCCCCAGCGGCCUGUUGCCACUGCGUUCAGUUUGUUCUUUGUGCUGCAGCAGAAGCAGCCUCCCCAGGGUCCCGGCCCCUGCCUUUUUCUUUUGAGUCCCUUCACAGCCUGUGGAGAUUGCUGGGGAGCAACCUGUCCCGUCGGCAACGGUGCAUAACGGCAAAAGAACGGCCCUUCCCUGCAAGGAAAGAUUGCACCUAACUCCAAGCGAGCAGAGCAGAACAUGGACACAGAGCGAGAUGCUCAUCUGUAUGGUAGUCUGGCCUUGCUGUUGCUAGGAGUGCCCAAGUAGGGAGGUGUUGGAAUAAUUUCUCAGCUUUUUCCCUAGAUCGCUGUAAGAUGAGAGGGGAGCGCUAAGCACACUUGGGUUCGUGCAUGCUCAUCAUUUUCAGAAGCGGACGGCAGGAGAAAGUUUGCGGUCAGCGAUAGCAGCACAAGGCCAUGCAACCAGGCUGGGGAACGCGGGGCUCUUUCCGAAACCAGGAGUGGCAGGACUUGCACAGCUUUGCCAGGAUCCUGGCUGUUGUGGAGAGACUUUGGGUUGGAGAUGGAUGCAAAGAAGUGGAGGCGUGCCAUGGUGAUGGAGGAUAGAGCAGGAGGAGUAGCGUGAUGGAAGGUGGACUUACCUCAAGCGGGGGUGGUGUUUUGAGUGGGGGUGUCUGGGUGGGUUGGGAAGUCCCUGCUCUGGGUUGGUGUCCUGAGCUGCACGCUCCCAGGGCAGGGCUACUCAAGCGGAGGGCCAUGGCACCCAGGAGUGCCUCUGAGAUGAGUGGUGUACGGCUGGGCUGGCUUGGCCCAGAGUUGCUCUGAGUCUGUGCAAAGAUCUCCAGGUUACGGUGGGACAGAGGAUUGGGUCUCUGCCUGGCUGUACCUGUUGCCACAUGCCUCCUUUCAGUGCUGGGAAUUGCAUUUAUGUCUCAUCUCUCUGGGUGUCACUGGUGUCUGUCUUUGUACUUCUGUUCUUAAAAAUCACUGCAGCACUUGUUACUUUGUUCUUCCCAGGACUGAAAGGAGGGUUGUGUUUGCAUGUAAAUUGAUCCCCUCACUUGGGAGGGGUGUAGCUGCAGCCCCCUGCGGUUUGUUAGUGGGGCCAGUGCAAGCUGCUGUUGUACCCCUGGUUGGGAGGGAGGGGGUGCUGUCCCGUUGGUGCUGUGAGACCUGCGCAUAGCACUGCAAGUGUUAAUUGCUGUUCAUUUUUGGUGGUGUGAACAUGUUUGGCAAGAUGAUCAAAGUCUGGUCCUGAGUGGAGAAGAGCUGAGGAAGAGGUGAAGAGCCCUGGAGCUGGUAUGGUGUGGAAGGAGUUGGAGAUGGCCCGAAGCCAUGCUCAUGUGAUCACCUGGAGCGAGGUAUUUGCUUCUUGCGGGUUGCAGCUCUGGACGGACAGAUCCUGCAGCUGCAGGUGCCUGCAUCGUAUCUGGGAAAGGGAUGGCAAGCAUGAGGACUGACGGCGCACAAGGACUGAAAGUGCAGCUUGAUGCCAGGUGUGGGUCCUGGUGUUCCUGGAAGGAAAGGGUGAGGGCACAGGGACCGGAGCAGAGCAGCGGUAACGGAACCAGAGGAUCAGGAUGCUAGAAGAGGAGCCACCUUGCCAAGGCUUCAGGCACUGAAGACGAGGUGAAGAGCCACAGAGAUGGUGGAGGAGGAAAUGGGCAGCUGUCUCGUGACUUCCCAGUUUGUGUGGUGUGAGGCCUCUGCCCCUGUGACGUCACCUGUGUGGAGCCUGCAGUGGGUUUGAGCUUCCUUGGAGCGGUCAUGCUGUGUGUACAGUGGUUACUGUGAUACAUCACGUUUUGAGUGCCUGUGACUAUCCAGCUCCGGGAGGCCGCAGACAAGCCUUUGAGAGCUCGGGUAAAGCCUGUAUGCAUCUUGUGGGGGAAGAGGGACGCAGGGAGUUCUGUGCCAUGCUGGUGGAAGAGGAAGGAAAACAAUGCUUAAAGGAGCCAUCUUCUGAAGGCUUGAGGGCUGUGAAGCAGACACUGUGAAGAUGAAGUGAAGAGUCCCAGAGAUGGUGCACAAGGAAAUGGGCAGCCUUGUCGUGACUUCCUGACUUGUGUGAUGUGAGGCCUCUUCUCCUGUGGCAUGACCUGGCUGGACUCCUGGGGAGGUUUUGUGUGUGUAGCUUCGCAGGCGGUGCAUCUCUGCUCCCACAUCCUGCUGUGAGGACACCUGGAUAAGGAGCAGCAUGAUUGUGGCUGGCUGUGCGGCCUCAAUGUUGUGGGGGAGAGGAAUAGAAGUGAGUUUUCUACGGUGGUGGUAGAAGAUGGAGGAACUGGAUCCCGAAAGGUGGGCUGGGUUAAAGUGGGAGGCUGGGUUGCGUUUUCUCUGGUCAUAUUUGGGUGGGGGAGGAAACCCCUAGUGUGUGAUGGGGUCUGGAGCUCCGUGCUGUCUGGGGAGUGAUUCUGAAGCAGGGAAUUGUGGCCCUUAGGGAUGCUGCAGAGCAGGGGGUCUAAGCCUGAUUUUGGUUUAGCUUGGGGUUGAGUCCUGACUGCUUGUAAAAGCUGAAAAUUGUCCUUGAGUAUAUUAGGGGUUUCAGUGUUUGCCCCUGGCUUCUGGGUGCAGAUGACGGCAUUGGAUGUGCUGGGACAGAGGAGCAGGUGCGUGCGUGUCUGCCUCUGCCUGGCUGUUGCUGCUGCCACUGGUCUCCCUUCAGUUCUGGGAAGUGCACUCUGUCCUAUGUCUCUGGGUGUGUCACUGGUGUUUCUUUCUACUUGGAUACCUAAAAUCACAGCAGCACUUCUUUCUUUGCUCUUCCCAGAGCUGGAAGGAUAGGUGUGUUUGCAUGUAAAUUGAUCCCCUCCUUUGGGUGGGCUUUGACUGCACCCUGUGUGCCUCAUGUGUGGGUGGGGGUGUUAUGCUUUUGGUGUCCUAGAUUGCGGGGGGCAUUGUGUCUGUGCUGUCAGUACUAUGAGAUGUGAAUACUGUUGUGUGUAGUAAUUGCUUGUUGUUUUGGGUGUGAUGUCAAUGUGUGGGGUGUGAGCAGAGAAGAGCUGAGUGGAAGAGGUGAAGAGACCUAGAGCCAGCGUUACGUAGAAGCAGGUGGUUGUGCAGCCAUGCUCACUUCUGGGUCACCUGAAGGGAGGUCUGUGCCCGUUCAGUGGAGUUGUGUGCAUGGGCAGAGCCCGCAGUGGGUAAGAUGUUACUUGGAGUGGUGUGGUGUGGUCUUCCCACAGGGCAGUUGCGUGUGUUUUGCCCUUUUGUUUUGCAGGGAUGUUUCUUGUGCGCCCUCAGGAGGUCCCUGCAUCCCCUGUGUGGAGAGGACGGCAAGGAGGGAUGAGAGUGCACUGGAGGAGGAGUGCGAUGCCAGGUCCCAUGAGUGCGGUCUCUUGGGGGUCCUGACCUGUGCAGAGGGAAGUGACUGCCGGUUGAAGGAGUGAAGCUGAGCAAUGCCCAUGGAGGAUGAAGCAGGAGGAACUCGAUGCUGCACAAUGUGUCGGUGCUGGAUGGGCAGGUCUGGCAUUUGGAGUCCUCUUGCCAAGGCUUCAGGACUGUGAAGCAGAGACUGGAAGAAGAGGUGAAGAGCCCCAGAGAUGGCGGAGGAGAAAACGCACAGCUGUCUCCUGACUUCCCAAUUUGUGUGGCGUCAGGCCCCUGGCCCUGCGGCAUCACGCGGUUGGAACCUGCGGAGUCUCUCUAGUGUUUACACAGGUCAGCUGCUUUGGUUCAGCCGGUACCCCUGGACUGUAACCUUCACCCCUAUCAAUCAAGACGCUGAGUUUGGGUAAAACAACAUUGGCGAAAAACCGCCUCGGCCCAAGUCUGGGCAGGUCCGUACCAAGUUCUUGUUACUAUACACGCUGCUGUGAAAAUUGCUGAGAAAGAGGGCCGGAUUCAUCGCAGUCGCCUCAAACCUGGUAUCGGCAAGUAAUGACCGGUCAGCUGCUGUUCCGCCUUUGUGGCUAGAAAGAAUCGGAGAAUCGUGGACCGUUCAGACUCCUUAAUAGAAAUGAUAUGUGUAUUAAGCUUGCUUUGUAUUAUCUUUCUUGUUAUACUUUGUGUUUGUAUUUCACUGUGGACGCAGGGAAGGUUAUAAGUUAAUAAUGGCAUUUCACUGGGCUAUCCUAACAGGAUUAUUGCUGUCGAUGCAUAAAACACCACAGCUAUUUAUGGGAAAGUGAUACAGAACAGGAAGACCAGUGGAAAGAUAAUACUUCCACUAUAGCUAUAGCACAGGCCCUAAAAUAUGUCUAAUGGUUGGAUAUGUGGUACACAGCCUCCUUCUACUAACUUUCCACCCUAUCCUUUAAUCCCUUGGGAAGGGAUUUUUUCUAAUCCAGAGUGGGUUGAUACGGAUAGAGCUGGCAUAAGUACCUGGCAGGACAAUCCUUAUUUUAAAGAGAAAGUACUUUGAGGUAUCGUGUUAUCUGCCCAGGUGUGUUGGGAAAAUCCUCGUGGAAUAGGAAAAGAGAUUUUUAGGAUGGCAACCAGGUUGUAAACUAACUAUUAAUGCCACACACUUAAUCUGGCCUAACAAUACUGCAGUGGGGGCUAAAGAAGCUGAAAAGAAAGGUUACAUCCCCUGGAAUGUGUCUGCUCCCUGUAAUUCCUUGCAGCGUCCUUAUGUAUGGCAAUGUAUGGAAGGUUCUAUCCGAUGCUCCGCCCCUAAUAAAACUUGGGCUUGGAGUCACGGCUGUUUCACGUCUUGUAUAUACAGCUCCUUUGCAAAGCCAAGUUGUUCGUAUGUUAACUAUACCAUUUACAGAGAUGGUUCAGUACCUUGCCCCAGAGAUCCUCAUACUACCGCAUCAAUCAACUAGCACGUGCAUUAGAACUUAUUGCCAAUAGCACAGCAGAGGGCAUUGAAUUAGUGCAAGACCAGGCUUCUUGCAACCAUGCUAUGGCUUUAGAAAAUCGCUUCGCUUUAGACUAUUUGUUAGCUAGAGAAGGAGGGGUAUGUGCUUUAAUCACAGGAGGACCCUGCUGCACCUAUAUUCCUGACCACUCUGAGAACAUAACUGCUGCAGUAAAAACAAUUCGAGACACAGCACGAGAGGUAAACUCUUUGCGAAGUUGGUCAGUAAUAGAACGGAUUGCCUCAACUUUAGGAAUGUGGGGAAGGUAUAUCUUAGAAUACAUUUUAUGGGGAUUAGGGAUCUUCUUGGUUAUUAUCCUAAUAAUUGCUGUAAUUACAGCCUGUGUAGUUGGAGUUAAGCAAAAAGUAAUUCAUCUCAAUAUUAUGCAAACAUGUGUUGCCCAAAUGGCUAGUUUCGUUCCCCUGGAGGCUUGUCCAAUUAUCCUCAAGGAGUGAGUCACACUUACACACAGGCUAGGUCCAUCACAUGUUUAUUGUUUACAUAAAGAGGUUCAGCUAAGAGGCUAAUGCCAAAGCAGAGCCGAACACCGGUCCGGCGCAGAAUUACAUAUUUAUAGCUUACAUAAACAUAGUCUUGACGUAUUAGGCACUCAUUGGUAGCAUUAUAAUUUCCUAGUUGUUACGUCUUAUUUUGUAGGCUAAACUUAACUUGUUAUUGGUUAGUGUGACUUAUCAGGGUUGGUGCAUGCGCAUUCAAAAAGCAGAACUACGGCAAAAAUCUUCUGUCGCAUGCGCAGAGGAAAAGAGGAACUACGGCAAGGUUUAAUAGUAAUCUUUUAGUAACUCCGGUGUCUGAGUGUAAUUUUAGAACACCAGACACAGAUGAUUUCAUUAUGCCAGGCAAGCAAAAAGUAAAGCAGACCAUAACUCAGUUGGUGGCGUCAUGAUCUUACUCAAGAGGUCAUAAGAUGGUCAUCAGACAUUUCUUUUAUAUAGUUGCUGCUUAAGCAUUAUUACAAAAUCUUGGGGUCUAACCUAUUUUUGACUACACAUGGGAAAUGGCCAGCAGGCCAUAGGCCUUUGGUCGUAAGGUGGGAUUGUUAGAAACUAUUGUUGGAAAAUCAAUGUGACCUUUGUAUGACCUUUGGUCAAUGCUGGCUGAUGCAACCUUGCAGUAAGAUUGCCAUGAUCUGUCAAUAUAGGCGGGCAAACAAGGUGAUUGGGCCCAACCAUGCGGGGUGAGCAAAGCUAAGCCAUCUUGGUGAUUUUCUCUGAGUUUUGCACGUGCGUUAUGAAGGAGCUUAUGUAACCAGAGUUUAUAAAUCUAUGUGUUGAGUUGCAGUCGGGGUCUCUCUGCCCUUACGAGGACAGGGGACCUUCGGCCGAAUAAACUGAAAAGACCACA